AACGCACAUUGCGCUCCCUGGUAUUCCGGGGAGCAUGCCUGUUCGAGCGUCAUUACACCACUCAAGCUCUGCUUGGUAUUAGGCCAUCGUCCUCCGAAAGGUGGGCGUGCCUCAAACACCUCGGCGGAGCCUCUCCGGCUUUGGGCGUAGUAGAAUUUCUCCACGUUCAAGACCCGGUAGGCCUCCUUUGCCGCUAAAAACCCAAUUUUUACAGGUUGACCUCGGAUCAGGUAGGGAUACCCGCUGAACUUAA
rnacentral:misc_RNA from 1 species